rnacentral:rRNA from 2 species
UAGGGAAUAUUGCACAAUGGGGGAAACCCUGAUGCAGCGACGCCGCGUGAAGGAUGAAGUAUUUCGGUAUGUAAACUUCUAUCAGCAAGGAAGAAAAUGACGGUACUUGACUAAGAAGCCCCGGCUAAAUACGUGCCAGCAGCCGCGGUAAUACGUAUGGGGCAAGCGUUAUCCGGAUUUACUGGGUGUAAAGGGAGCGUAGGCGGUAUGGCAAGUCAGAAGUGAAAGCCUGGGGCUCAACCCCGGAAUUGCUUUUGAAACUGUCAAACUAGAGUGUCGGAGGGGUAAGCGGAAUUCCUAGUGUAGCGGUGAAAUGCGUAGAUAUUAGGAGGAACACCAGUGGCGAAGGCGGCUUACUGGACGACUACUGACGCUGAGGCUCGAAAGCGUGGGGAGCAAACAGG